rnacentral:lncRNA from 1 species
AAGCAGAAAUAGAUGUUUUUCUGGAACUCUCGCUUUUUCGAUGUUGGCAAUUUGAUCUCUGGCUCCUCUGUCUUUUCUAAAACCUGCUUGAAAUCUGGAAGUUCACGUUCAUGUAUUGUUGAAGCCUGGCUUGGAGAGUUUUGAGCUUUACUAGCAUCUGAGAUGAGUGUAAUUGUGCUCUUCAAAGUGGUUGUCAGUUUUUGCAAAUCACAUGGGUAUGAAAUGACUAAUUUGCAUUUCCCUUAAUUACCGAAGUCUUUCAUUCUUUUGGUCAUUUGUAUUUUUUUUCUUCUGAGCUUCAUUAGGUCCUGAAACCAGGUACCGUGGGUUUUUACUGGGUUUGAGUCCCAGCCAGGUAGGUUCAAGUCCCAAGUGAGGUUUUGGUGGGGUUCGAGUCCCAAGCAGGGUUUUGGUUGGGUUCGAGUCCCAGCACAUGGGUUCAAGUCCCAAUCUGAGGUAAAUGGUUUCAGUACCUUUAUUCAUCAACUCUCAGAAAAGACAAGAUUAUGUGGUCAAAGUGAAAAAAGAAAUCUAAGUGUACUGACAACAUUCUUCUCCCCUCCCCUCUAACCAGAAGAUUCUCUGCUCCUUGCCUGCCAGGCUUGGGCAUACAGAGCGGAGGUGCCAGACUGAAGAAACCCAGGCAGAGGAUGGAUCCAUUUCUGUAGAAGGCACACAGAGGAAAAGUCCAGGAGAGGAGGGGGCUGGAAGGAAGUAAAGGCGUCAAGCAUGAGAAGAUAUUUGCCUUUCUCUGACUUAGAUUACAUUCCACUAAAAGUUAUUACAAGACAAUGGCUGUAUUUCCCUGUGCUGUACAAAAUAUCUGAAAUCGUGCAACUCUCACUGGGACUUGACUCCACAGUCAUUUAGGUGAGAUCACACACCCACCUGGUCUCAGGACUUAACGUAGCUCAGGUUCUUUUUAAGACUUCUUUAUUCUAGAUGCCAAUCCUUUGCAAGUUUUAUAUUUUUAAUAUAUUCUAUAUUUUAAAAUUUUUAUUUUAGUAUGGUCAAACCUAUCAGUGUUUUCCUGGUGCUGUUGUUAAGUAGCAUUUAGGCUUCUUUACCCUGAGCAGAAUAAAGCAGCAAACAAAAAUGGUGCAUAGUCUUAACAUCCCAGUAAUCCAUUAACACAAAAAUAAAUGCAUGAGGGCAAUACAUGCACGAGUUAGAACAUUCAAAUAGAGAAAAUUACAUGGGAAAGAAGAGUUAAACUUCCCCCUCUCCCCCAAAAUUAGUAACCACUGAUAAGUUUAUGUAUCUUCCCAG